rnacentral:lncRNA from 1 species
UGACAUGCUCUGCGACGACGCCGUUAGUCACCUCAAUUCCUCGUCUCGAGGUUGCAGUGGCUCAAACGAAAGCUGGAAUAGGGGAGCAAGACUGAGCACUUAGAGGCGCAGAGGUUCUCCUUGUACGACAUAACUUGGACGUAGUGCAUAUUGAGAAGAAUAUAUGUCAUGGUAUUCUUGGUACACUUUUGAAAUUGAAGGGGAAGUCUAAAGAUGGUCUCAACUCUCGUAAAGAUCUGGAAGCUAUGCAGAUCGGACAAGAUUUACACCCGAAAAUAAGAGGAAAAAAGUUUCUGUUUUUUUUUCUUGUAAGGAAAAAGCUCUACUUAGCAUGUUUUGUAAGGAAUUAUGUAUAAG